AUGGCGACGCGCCCGGCCUCGCGCCAGCGGAGGGCGGCCAAGGGCUCGCAGCAGCAGCAGGUUCAGCAGCAGUCGGGCUCGCCGACGUCGACGGCGACCACGUCGUCGUCGCGGCUCGCGCCGGAGAUGAUGUCGUCGCUCGAGGGCCCCGCGUCGCCGCGGCUCGUCGCGGGGCUGGACAACGCCGACGCCGACGACGACCAGGCCGCCACCAAGGAGAACGUCACCGUCACCGUCCGCUUCCGCCCGCUCAGCCCGCGGGAGAUUCGGCAGGGGGAGGAGGUCGCGUGGUACGCCGACGGCGACACGGUCGUGCGGAGCGAGCAGAACCCCAACGUCGGCUACGCCUACGAUCGGGUUUUUGCACCGACUACUACAACCCGCCAAGUAUAUGAUGUUGCAGCUCAACAUGUUGUCAGUGGUGCCAUGGAGGGCAUAUAUGGAACAAUAUUUGCGUAUGGCGUUACAAGCAGUGGAAAGACACAUACGAUGCAUGGAGAUCAAAGAUCCCCAGGAAUAAUACCUUUGGCUGUCAAAGAUGCAUUUAGCAUUAUACAGGAGACCCCAAAUCGCGAGUUUCUCCUGCGUGUGUCAUACUUGGAAAUUUAUAACGAGGUUGUCAAUGAUCUACUCAAUCCUGCAGGACAGAGCUUACGAAUUAGAGAGGAUCCUCAGGGAACGUUUGUCGAGGGUAUCAAAGAAGAAGUGGUAUUAUCUCCUGCACAUGCUCUGUCCCUAAUUGCAGCUGGAGAAGAGCAUAGACAUGUUGGAUCCACUAACUUCAAUCUACUAAGUAGUAGAAGUCAUACAAUUUUUACACUGACAAUAGAGAGCAGCUCUUAUGGCGACUCUAAUGAAGGGGAAGCAGUCACCUUCUCACAGCUGAACCUCAUCGACCUGGCAGGUUCAGAGAGCUCAAGGGCAGAAACAACUGGAGUACGCCGGAAGGAAGGAUCUUACAUCAAUAAAAGCUUGCUAACUCUUGGAACUGUGAUAUCAAAACUGACUGAUGGAAAAGCUACACAUAUUCCGUUUCGAGAUUCAAAAUUAACACGGCUACUUCAGUCAUCCUUGAGUGGACAAGGGCGCGUUUCACUAAUUUGCACAGUGACCCCGGCAUCAAGCAACUCCGAAGAGACCCACAACACACUAAAAUUUGCCCACCGUGCAAAGCGCAUUGAGGUCCAAGCAUCACAAAACAAGAUAAUUGAUGAAAAAUCUUUGAUAAAGAAAUACCAGAAUGAGAUUCGCAGAUUAAAGGAAGAGCUAGAACAGCUGAAAAUGGGUAUAAUUACUGGAACUCCGUUAAAAGAUGCCGAAGACGAUAAUAUGAUCCUUUGGAAGCAGAAGCUAGAAGAUGGUAACGUCAAGUUGCAAUCAAGACUUGAACAAGAAGAGGAAGCUAAAUCUGCUUUGCUUGCAAGGAUACAGCGGCUCACAAAACUUAUCCUUGUUUCCACAAAGGCAACUCCGACUUCUAGAUUUUCUCCACAUCCUGGGCCAAGAAGGAGACACUCUUUUGGGGAAGAGGAGCUGGCUUACCUCCCGUACAGAAGGCGAGAUAUCAUGUUGGAUAAUGAAAGCAAUGAAUUACUCACUCCUGGCGAAGGAUUUGGUGUGACACCUGAAGACUCUUCGAAGGAGGAGAAAAAGAACAGGAAAGGACUUCUUAACUGGUUCAAAAUUCGGAAACGCGAUGGUGGAGCUUCUACUCUAACAAGUUCAGAAUGCGAUAAGUCCAGUUUGACUAAAUCAACUGCUCCUUCAACACCUAUUGGGGAGAGUCUGAAUUUUCCUGCAGAACCAAGAAUAUCAACUUCGUUGGUUAAUGAGAGUGAAUCAGCUGAUAUGCUGAGCAUGGGCCAUGGGGAUUUUCCUUCUGAUGGUCUUACUGGAGAAGAAGCAUCUCUGGCGAGCACAAAAACAAUCGACCAUGUUGACUUACUAAGAGAGCAAUUAAAGAUUCUAUCAGGGGAGGUUGCACUUCAUACAAGUGUUCUAAAGCGCCUCACCGAGGAAGCUGGAAGAAACCUGAAUAGUGAGAAAAUUCAGAUGAAAAUGAAGAAGAUCAGCGACGAAAUUAAGGCAAAGCAGCAGCAGAUAUCAUCUUUGGAAAAACAGAUGCCUCAUUCCUUGUCAAAUAGUCAAGUGAAGGUUGACAAGUUAGAUCUUUCACCGUCUUACGGGGAACUACUUGAGCAACUUAAUGAGAAAUCUUUCGAACUUGAGGUGAAGGUAGCAGAUAACAGAGUAAUACAAGAGCAGCUACAGGAAAAGACAACUGAGUGCAUGGAAUUACAAGAGGCAGUUGCUUGCCUUAAAGAACAUCUUUCCCAAGCUCUUCAAGCUAAGGAUUCACUGUCAAAUAGCAUUAUGAUGCAGAAUAGUUCAGGAGUAAACCAUGAAGAACAACACAGUGAUCAAGAAAAACCAGUUUCCAGGGAUAUCUCUGCUGAACAACUGCAAAAGGAACAGCAGUCACUUGAGCUUGGUGAGCUAAAGCAGAGGGUACAUGAACUCACCGAAGUCAAGGCUCAACUCGAGGCUCGCAAUCAGAAGCUAUUAGAGGAAAGUACAUAUGCAAAAGGCUUGGCUUCGGCUGCAGGAGUGGAAUUGAAAGCGUUGUCAGAAGAAGUGACCAAACUCAUGAACCAAAAUGAGAAGCUUGCUUCCGAGUUAACAUCGCAGAGAAGUCCAACCCCUCGCAGAGUAAGCAAUGGACCAAGAGGUACUGCUAGGCGAGAGAGCAUGAGUAGACGAAAUGAACCAGCAAGCAGAAGAGAUGGCAAUGCGAGAGAAGAGAGGGAGAGAGCGUUAGAAAUCAUCCUUGCAGAGAAUGAACAAAAAGAAGCAGAACUCCAAAGGAAAGUCGAGGAAUCAAAGCAAAAGGAGGCCUUCUUGGAGAGUGAGCUUGCAAACAUGUGGGUUCUAGUGGCAAAAUUGAAGAAGUCUCGUGGGGAUGAUGACCAUGAGGAUUUGGAGGCCAAAUAUAAUGGCUCCUGA
rnacentral:rRNA from 1 species